CCGGAAUACUCACAAAAGGCAGUCAGCGGCUGAGGAAAAUCCCCCGCUCAUGGUGGCCGAGAGAGGACAAUUCAACACAACGAGUUCUCCGCUCUGCCGCUAGAGGCCGCUGUAGCGGGGAUUCUUCCCGUUGUCUUGUACAACAUCUUCAAACUGGUAUAGAGAACAUAACUGAAGACGACUUUAAAAAGAACUCGGCAAUUGAAUUGGUGGAAGAAACCCCAAAAAAUCGAGAAGAGAAUAUAGCUAAAUUAAAAACAUCGAUUUUGCAAACAAAGCUGAUUUAAUUUGAAAGAAACACCCAGGAUUACCAGCUGGAUCGAGUCUACACCUGGGCAGAGGAGAGACAAAGUUUUCGUCAAAAAGAGUGGAAUAUUAAUAGAUUGUCCUCAGGUGAAAGUAUCUCCUCAGGGAGUGAACAAAGCCUAACAGAAAGGCGUCAAAAAAGUCUAAAAAGCCACAAAGAUUUUUUAGGAGCAAGACCGAAAGAAAGGAACCUUACAAGAAAGAAAGAUCAAGGGGGAAACAAAGGAGAAAUAAAGACGAGAAGUGCAAAGAAACUACAGGAAACCAAGGAGAAUUGAGUUCACGCGAGAUGUGAAUUACUAUGUAAAUGGUGAUGGGUGCACGAUAGGGUCACUUGAGAAAGGGGGCGUGUUCUCCGAAACAUCGCAAGUGUCCGGCAACCUCACACUUGUCUACCCCUUCGUGAGAGGAAGGAAGGUCAGCUCCGUUAUGCCCGUGGAAGGGUGAAAAUUCAUUCAGUCAGCUGAACCACGACUGUCGGACGUACUCAGUGAGCACUUUUGGGUGAAAAACUUUUGUAUCUAUUUAAUUAUAUGAAGUUAAUGGUCUAUUGAUCGACUUUUGUACUAUGAAAAUUGAACACUAAAG